AAUCAACGCUGGCGGCGUGCCUCAGACAUGCAAGUCGAACGAUUAAAGCUCUCUUCGGAGAGUGUAUAGAGUGGCGCACGGGUGAGUAACACGUAAGUAAUCUACCUUUGAGUGGGGAAUAACCCGGGGAAACCCGAGCUAAUACCGCAUAAUGCAGCGGCAUCGCAAGAUGACAGUUGUUAAAGGAGCAAUCCGCUUAAAGAGGAGCUUGCGGCAGAUUAGCUAGUUGGUAAGGUAAUGGCUUACCAAGGCUACGAUCUGUAUCCGGUCUAAGAGGACGGUCGGACACACUGACACUGAAUAACGGGUCAGACUCCUACGGGAGGCAGCAGUCGGGAAUUUUGGGCAAUGGGCGAAAGCCUGACCCAGCAACGCCGCGUGAAGGAUGAAGUAUUUCGGUAUGUAAACUU
rnacentral:rRNA from 1 species